GUGGGGAAUAUUCCGCAAUGGACGAAAGUCUGACGGAGCGACGCCGCGUGAGUGAAGAAGGCCUUCGGGUCGUAAAGCUCUGUCAUCAGGGACGAACGGCCGGUGGAGUGGAAAGCCACCGGAUUGACGGUACCUGAGAAGGAAGCCACGGCUAACUACGUGCCAGCAGCCGCGGUAAUACGUAGGUGGCAAGCGUUGUCCGGAAUUAUUGGGCGUAAAGCGCGCGCAGGUGGGAUCUUCAGUCCAUUUUUAAAGUUCGGAGCUCAACUCCGUGAUGGGAUGGAAACUGGGAUUCUUGAGUACCGGAGAGGAAAGCGGAAUUCCCCGUGUAGCGGUGAAAUGCGUAGAUAUGGGGAGGAACACCAGUGGCGAAGGCGGCUUUCUGGACGGUGUCUGACACUGAGGCGCGAAAGCCAGGGGAGCGAACGGGAUUAGAAACCCGUGUAGUCC
rnacentral:rRNA from 1 species